CAUUUUGUCCUUGCUGUUAAUAAUUACUGUUUUGUUUAACUUUCUACUUUUAGUACACCGCUGAAACAGACUUCCUGGGAAACCUGGAUACGAGGUGAUCAUGAUGGCAACACGGCACGUUGAUUUUUCUUCUUCAUUUAUGUGAAGAGUUGUUUGCUGUGCUCAGGUCCCUUUUAUACUCGAUUUGAUAGCAUGGACCACUGUCCACCUGCCCUCAUCACCCAGAACCUGGUACCAGACAACCAAGACAGUACUGCUCUCCAGCAUUCCUGGAAACGCUAACAACAGAGACGUUUGCUGCAGAUCCCCAGCCUUGAGCCUCCUCACUGAUCUGGCAUUUCCAGAGCCCUCACCCCCAGUUCUUCUAUGCUGCUCCUGUUGGAAACAAUGAAUAACAAACUGUCUUUUUGAUGGC